rnacentral:lncRNA from 1 species
AUCGGAAUAGGAUUUCGAUUAGGAUUACGUUAGGGUUUUCUCAUUAUAAAUAUAUGUCAUAUGACAUAUUAAAAUUAACAGAAAAUUAAUACAAGAGAAAUAGAAAAUCCUAGCCGUCAAUCCUUUUUCUUCCUUAAGUCCUCCACAAUAAAUCCAUCGGCUUCGAUCUUCAAAAGUUGCUAGCACAUCUAGAAGAUUGAUUCAUCUUCCUCAAGUUGACGCAAGAGUUAAUUCGUGAUCGGAUUACGGAUUGAAGCGGUCGUCCAAUUCGAUCAAGGGCGUGAUUUCGUGUGGACGCGAGUAGAGGCCGGGCGCGUGCGCGGCUAACCGAGGACGAA